rnacentral:rRNA from 1 species
AACGAACGCUGGCGGCAUGCCUAACACAUGCAAGUCGAACGAGACCUUCGGGUCUAGUGGCGCACGGGUGCGUAACGCGUGGGAACCUGCCCUUAGGUUCGGAAUAACUCCCCGAAAGGGGUGCUAAUACCGGAUAAUGUCUUCGGACCAAAGAUUUAUCGCCUUUGGAUGGGCCCGCGUUGGAUUAGCUAGUUGGUAGGGUAAAAGCCUACCAAGGCGACGAUCCAUAGCUGGUAUGAGAGGAUGAUCAGCCACACUGGGACUGAGACACGGCCCAGACUCCUACGGGAGGCAGCAGUGGGGAAUAUUGGACCAUGGGCGAAGGCCUGAUCCAGCAAUGCCGCGUGAGUGAUGAAGGCCUUAGGGUUGUAAAGCUCUUUUAACCGGGAUGAUAAUGACAGUACCGGGAGAAUAAGCUCCGGCUAACUCCGUG